rnacentral:rRNA from 1 species
AGAGUUUGAUCCUGGCUCAGGAUAAACGCUGGCGGCGUGCCUAAUACAUGCAAGUCGAACGAAGCGAACUAGCUUGCUAGCUAGCUUAGUGGCGAACGGGUGAGUAAUACAUAAGCAACCUACCUACAAGGACUGGGAUAACACUUGGAAACGAGCGCUAAAACCGGAUAGGUAACAUUGAGGCAUCUCAAAGUUAUUAAAGGUGAGAAACACAAGUAGAUGGGCUUAUGGUGCAUUAGUUAGUUGGUGAGGUAACGGCCCACCAAGACGAUGAUGCAUAGCCGGCCUGAGAGGGUGAACGGCCACAUUGGGACUGAGACACGGCCCAGACUCCUACGGGAGGCAGCAGUAGGGAAUUUUCGGCAAUGGGGGCAACCCUGACCGAGCAACGCCGCGUGAGUGAUGAAGGUCUUCGGAUUGUAAAGCUCUGUUGUAAGGGAAGAACGGCUUAGAUAGGAUCUAAGAGUGACGGUACCUUACCAGAAAGCUACGGCUAACUACGUGCCAGCAGCCGCGGUAAUACGUAGGUAGCGAGCGUUAUCCGGAAUUAUUGGGCGUAAAGGGUGCGUAGGCGGCCUUUUAAGUUUAUGGUGAAAGCGUGGGGCUCAACCCCAUAAAGCCAUAGAUACUGGGAGGCUAGAGUACUGGAGAGGGUAGUGGAAUUCCAUGUGUAGCGGUAAAAUGCGUAGAUAUAUGGAGGAACACCGGU